UACGAAGGGGGCUAGCGUUGUUCGGAAUUACUGGGCGUAAAGCGCGUGUAGGCGGGUCUUUAAGUCAGGGGUGAAAUGCCAAGGCUCAACCUUGGAACUGCCUUUGAUACUGGAGACCUUGAGUCCGGGAGAGGUGAGUGGAAUUGCGAGUGUAGAGGUGAAAUUCGUAGAUAUUCGCAAGAACACCAGUGGCGAAGGCGGCUCACUGGCCCGGAACUGACGCUGAGACGCGAAAGCGUGGGUAGCAAACAGG
rnacentral:rRNA from 1 species